CUCAGGCACUUUAUUUAUUGAAAGACCGUACAUAAUCUGAGUGCACAACCGCACUCAGAAUGUCAGAGAUAACAUCAAAUGUUACAAUGCAUUUCAGUGGAGAGACCUUGCUUGCUAGCACAUGAGCUGCUUCAUUCACUUCUCUUCCACUGAACUUUAAAUCGAAUCCCCGGAAGAACGAGAGAUAUGAGGACAUCUCUCUAAAGAUUGAACCACAAACUGAUCGGUGCCUUCCUGUAUUCCAGUCAUCUAUCACUGUUUUGCAGUCAAAAAUAACCUCAAUUCUAG
rnacentral:lncRNA from 1 species